UCUGUCUUGAGCAACACUAAAAAAAUAAAAACAAAACAAAGGCUAAUUACCUUUCUUUGGUUUAGUGAAGCCUCAUGAACUUUAUUCAGGUACAAAAGAUAGAACAGCAGAGGUAAAAUCCCUGUGUGAAUGAUGAUUAAGUCAAGCAAUACAUUACCAAAUAUUUACUGAGUACAUACUGUAUGCUGGGCACUAGUUAAGAUUUCAGGAAACAAAACAAAGUCUCUGCUCCCAAGAAUCUUGUUUCGUGUAUGAGACAGCCAAUGAAAAAAUAAAAUAAAACAAAAACAUUUAAAAGAGUACCCUGUAGUAAUAUUAAGUGCUACAAAUAAGUUAAUAAGAAAGGGAAAAAAAUGGCUGUAGAAGGGAAGGUUUAUAGUUCUUGUUUAGCUACACUGGCCUGGGAAAGCUUCUCUUGAGAAGGUAUCAUUUAAGCUGCAUUUUGAAUAUGGAGAAGGAGCAGUCAUAUGCUGGGAAGUCAAUAUUCCAACUAGUGUGUCUGAGAGUAACAAACAGGGGGAAGGGUACAGGGAGAUGGCUUUGAGAGGUAACAAGUGCCAGAUCAUGUACGAUGUGGGUAGAUCACAGGCAAAAAAAAAAAAAAAAUUAAUUACUCAACUAUAGUGAGAUGGAAAAACUGUGGUGGGGGAGACAAUUAGAGAAGGCCAGUCUAGAGAUGAGAUAUUUGACUCUUGUAGAGUUCAAAUUCAAAACCAGUACUGCAGGCAGAACAACUUAUACUGAUGCAUUGGAUGUGAAUUGGAAAGUGACAAAUAAAAUUGGAAUUUUGACCCUAACAGCUAGAUGGAUAACAUUACUGUUUAUAUAAAUGUUGAAAACUUGGUAAGAAGAAGAUUCUGGGGCUUGUAUAUGUGUGUGUGUUUGGCAAGGGGAUCAACAGUUAUUUUUUGGCCAUGUUAAGUUUGUAGUGACUACUAGACCUCCAACCAGAGAUGUGAAAAAAGCAAUUAAAUGAGUACAGAGUACAGCAAGGAAGCUAGAUUUAGAAAAUAACAUUUAAAAGUUACCAUGAUGGAAUUCAUUUUCAAAGUCAAGAGACUAGAUAAAUCACUUGGAGAGUGAAUGUAGUCAGAGGAGAUGGCCGGAGAGAUACCUAAAGGACAUCAAUGUUUCAACAGUUGGAAAAGACCCUGAAUUGAAGGAAGCAAAAGCUUCCUCUAAGCCUAGAGAAGAACUUAUCUAGAAGAAAAGAAUCAAGAGCCACUAGGAAAUCAGGUAAAAGGAAGACAAAAAAAAAAUUAACCACUAUCUUUGCAAAGAUGUGUGUCACUGGAAAUCUUAACACAUUGAGCCAUAUCACUGGAUGAAAUGGGAAUGUAAGCUUGAUAUGAAUUGGUUAAGGAGAAAAUAGGAGGUAAAUAACUGAAAACAGCAAAUACAUGCAGAACCUCUCUCAAGGGUCUUGCUAUGGAGGGAAGUAGAGAAAUGUGGCAAUAAAAGGAUUUGGAGUCAACACCAUUUACUGUUUAUUUUAAGAUCAGUGAUAUUGCACUCAUGGUGGUGGGAAUGAUAAAAAGGUAAAUAGGGAGAAAGUAACGAUACCAAAGAGAAAAGGAAAUUCUGCUGGAUGAAAGCCACAGAGCAGUUAUGAGGGCAAAGGAAGCAGGGCACAAGCGGAGGAUUUGUCAUAGAUAAGAACAAGGCCAACUCAUCUGCUGUCCCAGUAGGAAAGAAAGGCAGACUCGAUGGGUGUAGGUGCAGGUAAACUGGUAGAAUUGGUGGUAGCUCAAUAACAAAUUGUAAUGGUGUUCUCUUUUAAAUAUGGCCAUCAAUUAAGUCUUUGGAAGGAAUAGGGGUUUGUUUAGCCCGUAGUUCUAUAUGCUGAGAAGAUCAAGGUCAAGGAUCUGUCUUCUGGUGAGGGCAUUCAUGCUGCAUUACAACAUAGCAGAGAAGGUCAAAAAAAAAAAAAAAAAAGGAGGAGACAUGCAAAGAGGAGGAAAAGCUGAGGAGCAUUCUGGCUUUAUAACAACCCAUUUUUGAGGGAACUAAUCCAUUCCUAGGCGAACAAAUCCAGUCUUAGGAAAGUGAGAACUCACUACUACAAGAACAGCACCAAGCCAUUUAUGAGGAACCUACCCCCAUAACCCAAACACCACCCACUAGGUCCCACCUUUAAACGCUGACACAUCGGGGAUCAAAUUUCAACAUGAAUUUUGGUGGAGAAAAACAAUUAAUAUUCAAACCACAGCAUAAACUUAC
rnacentral:lncRNA from 1 species